rnacentral:rRNA from 1 species
ACGAACGCUGGCGGCGUGCCUAAUACAUGCAAGUCGAGCGGAAUGAUGAAGAAGCUGGCUUCUUCUGAUUUUAGCGGCGGACGGGUGAGUAACACGUGGGCAACCUACCUUGUAGAUUGGGAUAACUCCGGGAAACCGGGGCUAAUACCGAAUAAUCCAUUUUGCUUCAUGGCGAGAUGUUGAAAGACGGUUUCGGCUGUCACUACAAGAUGGGCCCGCGGCGCAUUAGCUAGUUGGUAGGGUAAUGGCCUACCAAGGCGACGAUGCGUAGCCGACCUGAGAGGGUGAUCGGCCACACUGGGACUGAGACACGGCCCAGACUCCUACGGGAGGCAGCAGUAGGGAAUCUUCCACAAUGGACGAAAGUCUGAUGGAGCGACGCCGCGUGAGUGAAGAAGGUUUUCGGAUCGUAAAACUCUGUUGUAAGGAAAGAACACGUACGAGAGUAACUGCUCGUACCUUGACGGUACCUUAUUAGAAAGCCACGGCUAACUACGUG